rnacentral:rRNA from 1 species
UACGUAGGGUGCGAGCGUUAAUCGGAAUUACUGGGCGUAAAGCGUGCGCAGGCGGUUUUGUAAGCCAGAUGUGAAAGCCCCGGGCUUAACCUGGGAAUGGCAUUUGGGACUGCAAGGCUUGAGUGCGGCAGAGGAGACUGGAAUUCCUGGUGUAGCAGUGAAAUGCGUAGAUAUCAGGAGGAAUACCGAUGGCGAAGGCAGGUCUCUGGGCUGACACUGAC